rnacentral:misc_RNA from 1 species
AGCAGCCGCGGUAAUUCCAGCUCCAAUAGCGUAUAUUAAAGUUGCUGCAGUUAAAAAGCUCGUAGUUGAAUUUCGGGAUCAUCAUGUCGGUCGUGCCUCGGUACGUACUGGCAUUGUUGGUUUCUACCUUCUGACGAACCAUGAUGUCAUUUAUUUGGUGUCGUGGGAAAUCAGGACUGUUACUUUGAAAAAUUAGAGUGUUUAAAGCAGGCUCACGCUUGAAUACAUUAGCAUGGAAUAAUGAAAUAGGACGUUUGAUUCUAUUUUGUUGGUUUCUAGGAUCAACGUAAUGAUUAAUAGGGAUAGUUGGGGGCAUUAGUAUUCAAUUGUCAGAGGUGAAAUUCUUGGAUUUAUUGAAGACUAACUACUGCGAAAGCAUUUGCCAAGGAUGUUUUCAUUAAUCAAGAACGAAAGUUAGGGGAUCGAAGACGAUCAGAUACCGUCGUAGUCUUAACCAUAAACUAUGCCGACUAGGGAUCGGAUGAUGUUAAUUUUUAAUGUACUCU